rnacentral:rRNA from 1 species
UAUACGAUGAUCACUCGUUCUUGGCUACUUAGUAGUCAGUGACUAAGGUAUACCGAUAAGUGAUCCACCUGGGGAGUACGUCGUCAACGAUGAUACUCAUAGGAAUUUACGGGGGCCCGCACAAGCGGAGGUACAUUGUGGUUUAAUUCGAUGAUACGCGAGUUACCUUACCUGGGCUUACAUGCUGCCUGCAUUCACGCGAAAGCGUGAUUUCAUACGGGACCGCCAGCAAGGUGCUGCAUGGUUGUCGUCAGCUCGUGCCGUGAGGUGUCGGGUUAAGUCCCAUAACGAGCGCAACCCCUAUCGUUAGUUGCCAGCAUGUAAUGGUGGGGACUCUCACGAGACCGCCGGUGUAAACCGGAGGAAGCCCCCCAUGACGUCAAAUCAGCACGGCCCUUACGUCCAGGGCUACACACGUGUUACAAUGGCCGGUACAAAGAGCAGCCACAUGGCGACAGGGUGCUAAUCUCUAAAACCGGUCUCAGUUCGGAUCGAAGUCUGCAAUUCGACUUCGUGAAGAUGGAUUCGCUAGUAAUCGCGCAUCAGCCAUGGCGCGCCGCCUAGUUCCCGGGCAUGUACACACCGCCAGUCAAGCCAUGAA